rnacentral:rRNA from 1 species
AACGAACGCUGGCGGCAGGCUUAACACAUGCAAGUCGAGCGCGUAGCAAUACGAGCGGCAGACGGGUGAGUAACGCGUGGGAAUCUACCCAUCCCUACGGAACAACUCCGGGAAACUGGAGCUAAUACCGUAUACGUCCUUAUGGAGAAAGAUUUAUCGGGGAUGGAUGAGCCCGCGUUGGAUUAGCUAGUUGGUGGGGUAAUGGCCUACCAAGGCGACGAUCCAUAGCUGGUCUGAGAGGAUGAUCAGCCACACUGGGACUGAGACACGGCCCAGACUCCUACGGGAGGCAGCAGUGGGGAAUAUUGGACAAUGGGCGCAAGCCUGAUCCAGCCAUGCCGCGUGAGUGAUGAAGGCCCUAGGGUUGUAAAGCUCUUUCACCGGUGAAGAUAAUGACGGUAACCGGAGAAGAAGCCCCGGCUAACUUCGUGCCAGCCGCCGCCGUAAGAC